AAGAAAGAAAGAAAGAAAGAAAGAAAGAAAGAAAGAAAGAAAGAAAGAAAGAAAGAAAAAGAAAGAAAGAAAGAUGAAGGAGGAAGAAAAGAAAUAGAGAGUAGAGAAGAGUAAACAUCUGUCAGGAAGGACAGUACACAGUAUUCGCUAGGGUUCACAAAUUACCAAGAAAGUCAAGAAGGAAGAGGCCAUUCGUUUCUACAGCAUCUAUGACCAUCUUAUUGUCCCACACUAUCAAUCCGAGUCAAGGAGUCAAAGGGGCCAAGGCCUUGAAGGAGGAAGACAGCUUAAACUCCAUCCAUUGAAACCAUAUAGCUACAAAUGUACCACGUUUCUCAGGAGUAGAGUAGUAUAUCUCCAAUGCCAUAUAAAAGUCCAUGCGUUGGCACCAAUCCCAUAGAGAAGGUGGAGAGGUGGCGUGCCAGCGCACUGGGAUUACCGCUCUGGCUGCAUUAUUGAUAUGCUGCAAAUAGGACUUUUCAUAUUUCGAGAUAGGAAAAUCUAAAUGGGAUAAUAACCAGAAGUCUGGACCCAGUGGAAUAGGAGCACCCAGGAUCUCCACAGCUAACCGUUUUAUUUCAUCCCAAAAAGAAACAAUCUUAAGGCAAUCCCACCAUAUAUGAAUCAGUGUUCCCUGUUCCUGACCACAUCUCCAGCAUAAAGGAGUCACACAAGGGUAAUACUUCUGAACUAUAGUGGGACAAAGAUACCAUCUAGAAAGGAGUUUAUAUUGGGAUUCCACUAUGUCCAUGAUAGAAGAGCACACACUAGUCACCUGUCCCACAGACCAGCCGGCCAGACAGGCCUCAGACAAGUCAGGAUGAGGCUGGGAUUGCAGGUUCUGCUUCUGGAAGCCGACCUCCUGUAAGGCGCCCAUCACAGGGCUUGGGCCACUUACCCAGGAGGCCAAGUAAGACACGGCGUCUUGGCACGGAAUCUGCGGCUCCAUCAUCCCCACCCAGGCGACGCAUUUCGGCAGUGUCACCCCAGCCACCACUGGCACUAUUGGCGAGUUCGCAGAGUGAUGAGCCCCGAUCACCUCAGUUAUCUGAGCCCAGCUUGAUGGCCGACGUGGACCGGCAGGGACAAGACCAACAGGCAACCAUCACACUGCAACUUACACCUGUUGACCCAAGCCAGCCAAUACAGCUGCAGGAUAUCCCCCAAGCCUCCAUCAGUCCACAACUGGCACAAGCUCCGCCCCCAACCCAAAUACCAGAUGACUUUUGGGCCAGUUGGACAAGCCAACAGGCCCAAAGCAAUGCCAGCCUGACCGCACAUACACAACACCUUGCCAGUCUGCCCCAUCAUCUACCGCGCAUUAGUCGCAACUCGGGCAGACUGAUUGUACAAGUAGGGCGAAUGGCAACCUCAAUGGAGCAAAUAAGGGCUGACAACAGCCAAAUGCUUGCUCAUUUAACGCGCAUCAUAGAUGAGCAACAGCGCCAUCAGCAGGCACUCGUUCAGCUCAUUCAGCACAACCAGGUUGUGAAUGAGUCGUUAUCCCGGAUUGUAGCCAGCCACACUGCAACCAACACUCAACUGAUAGCAAGCAUUAAUAAUUUGAGCAGCAAUAUUACAUUGAUGGGAGCUCACCAAGUAACCUCCAGCUCGGGGACCACGACCCCUAUCCAAACGCCAGUAACCUCCCCUGUUCGGCGUUCCUCCAGAGCACGUGCCAGUGAGCCAGCACAAAGCACAGCACCCAGCACACACAAGCGGAAAAAAUAACCCCAAUGUGAUUUGCUAAAUAAAAAUUUGUAUUUGACAAACACACAA